rnacentral:rRNA from 1 species
UACGGAGGGAGCUAGCGUUGUUCGGAAUUACUGGGCGUAAAGCGCACGUAGGCGGCUUUGUAAGUUAGAGGUGAAAGCCCGGGGCUCAACUCCGGAACUGCCUUUAAGACUGCAUCGCUUGAAUCCGGGAGAGGUGAGUGGAAUUCCGAGUGUAGAGGUGAAAUUCGUAGAUAUUCGGAAGAACACCAGUGGCGAAGGCGGCUCACUGGACUAACACUGACGCUCAUGCACGAAAGCGUGGGGAGCAAACAGG